AAUUUGAUAAAUAAUUAUUAGAUCCACUUAUUUAAAUAAAAUUAUAUCUUCAAAAACAAAACAUAUGUUAGAAUUUAAUUAAUAAAAUAAUUAGAUAAUGGAUAUUUCUAUUGUAAAACAAAUUCAGUGUUAUUCCCUCUAUCAUUUCAUCUUUUCCCUCCACUUCUCCAAUCUUUUCUCAAUUUCAAUCUUAUCCUUUUUACUUUUAUCUUUAUCUAUUUUACAUUUUAUUUUUUAAAAUCCUAAUCUCCUUUUACUUUCACUCUUUCUCUCAAAGGCAAGCCUCCACCUCCCACCCUCACUUUCACUUUCUCUCUUUCUUUUCAAUUUUCACAUCUGUUGAAACAAAAGUAUGUGUAGGUGUCUUUCUUCUUAAAAUGAUCUCUUAAGAUCGA
rnacentral:lncRNA from 1 species